CUUGGGCUAUGCAGUGCUGUGUCGCAGUUUCUCUGGCCUAACCUGCAUGCACUUCUUUGUACUUUUAUUUGUUGGUUGUGGGAUAAACCCCGUUCUGCCUGUGUUGCUACUCUGCUUGCUGUGCAUGUUUGUGUGUGUGUGUGUGUGGGUGUGUGGGUGUGUAUGCAUGCUGGUUUACAAUCCCAAUGCUGUGACAAGGAUUGCUGUUCUUCCCCGGCUUAGGAUAACCCCCAGUCUGUCUGUGUUGCUACCCUGCUUGCUGUGCAUGUGCAUGUUGGUGUGUAUGUGCGUGGGUGUGUAUGCAUGCUGGUUUACAAUCCCAAUGCUGUGACCAGGGUGGCUGUCCCAUUUGUCCAUUGAUCCGUGCUGAGCUGGAGCACCAAACCUGCUCCUUAAGAUGAGUAGCCAUUUGUAGUACUGCUAGCAUACCUGGCUUGUAAGAUCAAUCACUCUGUUAAUCAGUGCUUGUGUCUCCUUUUCCCCUCUGUCAGACAGGAGCAGUGUGGCCCACGUGAGCGGAGGACUGAGUUUGUGGUGGAGGCCUUCACUUUCCCUUGCUGUGUGCACAUUGAGGUGUCUUUUGCUUGGAUUGCAGUGUUUCUCUCAUGCAUGGUGUGUAUUUUCUGGACCCCCUCCUCUCUGUCCUGCAGUAGUCCGGCUCGCUGUGGUAAGCAUCUGCCCUGCUCUAGUUACCCCCCCUGAGACCAGGUCACUCGCCCAAUAGCAAGGUGCCAGUCAACCACAUAGCUACAGUGCUCAAAUAGUAGUCCCCUGGUCACUGUGUCGGUGGGACCUCUCAGUCAGAGUGUCAAUUGUGUGGUCGUGUGUUACUGUGCAACUGUAAUAAUUAAUGUGUCUUGUUUGAAUAAAUAUUAUUGAUGCAACGCAUGUCUCCGGCUCCUUGGGUUGAUGAACCUGUGUGCUCCAAUUACCCUCAGGGGUUAAUCUAGUUUAGUUCCUUGUCCUAGGGGCCGGCCUCCCGUCCCCUAGGUGGCGUAGUCGAUGCAACAAAUUCUCAAAAUUACCUCUUCCCUGCCACACAUAGAACUUACUUGCCUGAGUGCUUGGUUAAUAAA